rnacentral:pre_miRNA from 1 species
AAAAAGACAAAACCUGAGUUUCUGUGUCUAACGUUUGACCGUUCGUCUUAUUUAAAAAAAAUAUGAAAAAAAUUAAAAAGAUAAGUCACACAUAAAGUAUUAAUCAUGUUUUAUCAUCUAACAACAAUGAAAAUAAUAAUUAUAAAAAAAUAUCAUAUAAGACGGACAGUCAAACGUUGAAUAUGAAAAUCAAGAGUUUGUUUUUUU